UACGUAGGGGGCAAGCGUUGUCCGGAUUUAUUGGGCGUAAAGAGCGUGUAGGCGGCUUUGCAAGUCCGUUGUGAAAACUCGAGGCUCAACCUCGAGACGCCGGUGGAAACUGCAAAGCUAGAGUCCGGAAGAGGAGAGUGGAAUUCCUGGUGUAGCGGUGAAAUGCGCAGAUAUCUGGAGGAACACCGGUGGCGAAGGCGGCAUCCUGGACCGACACUGACGCUGAGGAGCGAAAGCCAGGGGAGCAAACGGG
rnacentral:rRNA from 1 species